rnacentral:rRNA from 2 species
UCAGGUAGGACUACCCGCUGAACUUAA